UUUGAUUGUUUGUUACACUGAAUUCCUUUGUAUGUUUGUAAAAUUCAGUGUAAGGGAGGAUUUGUUAGGAUAAGAGAAGCUUGGGCUUAGUUCUCUUGUAUAUAUGGGCUUACUUGUACCAAGUAACUGGUUUAUCUUUGUAAUGUCUAUAUAAGGCACUUUGCCUAACAUGAAUGAGAAGAGGAAACACCCUUACACUAACAUAUCAAGCAUAUGAACAUGUGCCAUGUUCACUCCUUAAACAACAAGGCUUGUCCUAAGCAAAAGGGCCGGGAGGGACAAAUGGUGAGAGAAUUGAGAGAAGUGAAAAUUGUGGAUGCAGCAAAUCUUGGUUUCUUUGAUCAAGAGCCUUAUGGAGCUGGAUGUGGUGCUGGAUGUGGUGCCGGAUGUGGUGCUGGAUGUGGUGCAUGAGAUCUUUCUUGUUACUAUCAAUUUCAUGCAUAGAUCUAGAAGACGGGUAUGAAGAGGGAUAUAACACGUACACAGUUCAAGUAGAAGUGGAAUUUUAGUGACUAUUGUAUGUUAGUUUUUUUUUAUAUUUCGUAGUGCAGCUUUGUUGUUAAUGCCUAUGAUUAUUAAUAUGCUAAUUUUACUUCUUAAUUGCCACUGUAAGCAGAGAACACCUGCAAUGGUUGUUUUGAAUUAUAAAAUUUUGAUCCGAUACCCUCAAA